GUUCACAGUCCUGUUCACAGAGUUAGAAAGUGAAAUUUGGUGUCCGUGCUGCCUCUGGAGACGGAGAAUGCCACGAAGGCGUGAAGGCCUUCUCCUUCCUGCGGAGAAAGCAGCACUUGCCGCUUUGGCUUCGGGCUCACAGUCCUACGCAGUCGUGAUCGCUUCCUGUACUGCAGCUUCUGCUUCCUCUGAGCCAGGUACAAGUAAACUAACCCGCAAAGGGACUAACAGCAUGAACAAAACGGAAAGCUGCUCGACUACUGGAAACUGAUGGAGCACGGAGAUGGAAUGAAUGCCUCAUGGAAGAAAGGCAAAUUGUUGGUAACUUGAAAUAAAACUGCUCAAGAAAUUCAUACUCCACGACCAUGAUGGGUUUCCUUUCAGCAAGAGAAGCUUUUGCCAUGCUCUGUGCCUUCAAAAAAGUGCCACAUUUCUAAAUGAUUGGUGGUGGUGGGCAUGUACAGUGUCAGUAGAUAAGAUGGAGGAGGUACCUCCCUUUUUCAUGCACCUUUAAGAGGUGAGAUGGAGCGGAAUCUGGCUGCUAGUGUUUCCCUGAGGAGCUUCUACACCUGAUCCUUAUGGGUGUGGAAGAGGAACCUGGGUUGUUCAGCAGGUGAAGGUGCACUGUUUGCAGGCCUGUUCUGCCAUACAGGUUAGGGGAAAAUGUUCACUUGUGUGGGAAACAUAAGUUAAAUUGGCUACCUGAAUGAAAAUACUGUGACGAAAGUUGACUGUAACCUGUAAGUGAUUUUUUUUUUCUUUCCCUGCCCCAGUCUCUGACCCUUUAUUUUGCUGUAUUGCAUUUGCCAUUCUGCACGUCUUUUCUUUUCAGAUGUCAGUUGUCCCAACUUCACUCUGCCAUUAAUACUUUCUCAUGGAGAGAUUCCUUCAUUUCCUUUCCAUGAUACAAAACUAUUUUAAUUAGACAAGGACUGCAAACUAUAUUUCCUGCUAUUUUAAUCUCCUGAGCGUGUUUUUCUGUGGUUUCCUUGUAUGCCGAGAGGGAGUGUAGCCUUUUACCUCACUAAAGUGGAUCUUAUGUGGUCUCUACAAAUUGCACAUCUAUUAUACUUCUUAUUUUAUUUUUAUUUUUACACAUUAGUAAAUUAUUUUGGGUGUUUAGCCAUAUUAAGAUACUUUAUACGGUCAUAAGCCACUAAGAAUUUCUUCAUUUAGGAAUUCUUGGUUUAUAAUCAGGAAACUGCAACUGGUCCAUCUUACCUAGGAGCUCGUGGUCUGCUCAGAUCGAACAAAGCAGGUGUUUGCAAUGUGCUGUUCCCACUUGCAGUUAAAUGCAAGGUAAUUAGGCUUCAACAGCAUUUUUGGAUGUGAUUUGUUUGUGAUAGAAAAGUAUUUUUCUUGUUUCCAGAUUCUUUCUGAAGUUGGAGCUGGGGACAUUUUUCAAUGUGGUUUUAGUUCAGGCAAAAACUGUUCAGCAGUUUAUGUCCAUGUUUCUACUGUUGCUAUAAUACCAAUAGAAUAUUGAAAUGCUUUGAAAUUUAGGAAUACCUAAUGCUGAUAGCUGUAAAUGGCUUGUCUUACCUUUCUCUGCCUCUGAAAGCUCCAGGCCCCAGUUUUGCUGUGGGUAAAUGGAAGCCGAUGACAAAGCUUCCGCUAUUUUAUAUAAAAACAAUAUAUAUAACCUGCGUCUCCCCCUCCACCACCAUCUUUAAGCCUUUGGACGCAGACUGUUCAUAGAUAGCCUCUGCCCAAAAUAUACUUACCUGACAUCACUUAAAAGGCAAGAAGCUUGCCCGUCAGUCUCCAGUGUUCGAGCCUGGAUUACUGUGUUUUCUUUUCUGUAUCUUCUGUUGCUCUUUUGACAUUUACUUAGUGGAAACACUCAUUAGAGCAUCUUUGUUAGUUAUUGCACACUUCUGAGUUACGGUCAGAUUAGUGUGGGGCUGCAGAAGGGAAGCGUUUCUGUGCGAGAUUGCACCCUUCUGCAAAGAAGAAAGCAAGUUCAAACCGAGAAGCCUUGUGUUAUUGAUAGCAUGAUGCCUGAGCUUGCGUGGUAGAUUUGUGACUUUGCACUUAGCACCUCUUUGUCUAUCAGCGCAUUUGGGAAGCUGCCAGAAGACUGGUACAGAUCACUCUGUGACGAACAAAAAGUUCGUUGAUGCUCAGGGAAAAAGAUGCACAUAAAUAUAGCUACUCUUGUACAAAAGUAGUGAUGCUGUUGUGAAUUGCUCUUUUUGGUUUACAUCAAAAUAGAUUUGCUAAGAAAAUGAGGAAGUGAUUUUGCAAAAAAUUUUGAAAUAUUAUGAAUUCCUCUUGCCAAGUUUUAACAGUUUCUGUGAUACUUUAUCAAACUUGCACAAAAUUGGAAAAAUUCUAGUUUCUGAAAAGCCUAGUUUCAGCUGGAGAAAUCAGAUCUGUGCAAAGAAGUUUUCAGGCAAAAGCAUUCUAAAAAGAAAUUCCAUGAAAACGUUGAUGUAAGUUUUGCAGAAAAUGGGAAACCAAAUGCUCUUUUUUUGGGGGGGGGAGGGGAAGCAUCUAUUUGUUUUAAAUAUAUUUCUCAUUCUUAAAAUAAUGUUUUAUAAGAAAAGAUUGCAAAUAUCUAACUAUCUACAAGGUUAUAAAUAUCUAAAGCAGGGCAAAAUCUAAAUAAAAAAUUACAAGGGCAGAGAAGUUUGUCACACUUUACUUGUGCCACCUUGACUGGUCUGAUAAUACACCAAUAUCUCUUUUGUAUCAAUAUUUGCGUAUUAAGUGUCCUUAAACCAAACACCCAAAUUGUCAGCAUCUUGGGGUCUACUUUAAAUCCUAAAUCAAACUUAAUGAUGUUGUUCUGACUCUAGAGUCGUGUUGAAACUAGGUGCUCAGAAUGCCCUGCAAAUGAAGUCUGUAACGAUGCUAGUAUUGCCAAAGACAGGUGGAGGUGGUACUCUCUGAAUAACACUGAGCAGUGCUGGUAACCACUGAUUCAGGAUAGAUAUAGGAAGACUAUUUGGAAUACUUCUGAGCUGCAGGCAAUGGGAAGUUCUUUUGGUUUAAGCUGACUAGUAUAAAUACUAAUGUUAAUAGCAGGUCUAGAAAAACUUAUUCAAUGUAUUAAGCUUUAAUUUUUUUUUUUUUUUUUAAAGUAACCUCUUCCAACAUCUGAAACUGCAGAUUCUUGUUUGUGAAAAUUUUAUGUAUUCUUUUGGAAUGUUACUUAAUUUAUGAUCCAAAAUAGCAAAUGCUUGUUAAUUGCUUCACAUAGUGCUUCUCUUAAGUCAUUCAUUCAGCAGAUGUUGAUUUGUUGUUGAUGUAUGCAAAACUGAAUAAAUUUUGUUCAUCACUUGGGACAUGUAA